CCUACGGGAGGCAGCAGUGGGGGAUAUUGCACAAUGGGCGAAACCCUGAUGCAGCGACGCCGCGUGUGGGAAGACGGCCCUCUGGAUUGUAAACCACUGUCCCCAGGGACGAAGAUGACGUAACCUGGGGAGGAAGCUCCGCCUAACUACGUGCCAGCAGCCGCGGUAAUACGUAGGGACCGAGCGUUGUCCGGAUUUCCGGGGUGUAACGGGAGCGUAGGCGGGCCUGAAGGCUGGUUGUAAAAUCUACGGGCUCAACCGGGAGCGGCACUCGAAACUGCCGAGCUUGAGUGAAGUAGAGGCAGGCGGAAUUCCUAGUGUAGCGGUGAAAUGCGUAGAUAUUAGGAGGAACACCAGUGGCGAAGGCGGCCUGCUGGGCUUUAACUGACGCUGAGGCUCGAAAGUGUGGGGAGCAAACAGGAUUAGAUACCCGAGUAGUC
rnacentral:rRNA from 1 species